rnacentral:siRNA from 1 species
GAAUUGGGCCACCACACUGCCUGA